GAUGAAGAACGUAGCGAAAUGCGAUAAGUAAUGCGAAUUGCAGAAUUUCCGUGAGUCAUCGAAUCUUUGAACGCACAUUGCGCCCACUGGUAUUCCGGUGGGCAUGCCUGUUCGAGCGUCAUUAUCCUCCCUCAAACCUCGGGUUUGGUGUUGGACCCAAGUUGUGUGAACAACUGGUCUCAAAGACAAUGACGGCGUCCGUGGGACCCUCGGUGCAACGAGCUUUUAGGAGCACGCGUCGAGUUUCAAGGACCUUCCGGGCCGGUCUCCUUUACUAUUUUUACAAGGUUGACCUCGGAUCAGGUAGGAAUACCCGCUGAACUUAAGCAUAUCAAUAAGCGGAGAA
rnacentral:misc_RNA from 1 species